rnacentral:misc_RNA from 1 species
GCUUUGAAUGUCAUAGCAUGUGAGGGCUCAGAAAGAGUCGAGAGACCAGAGACAUACAAGCAAUGGCAUGUUCGAAAUAUGAGAGCUGGGUUGAAACAACUUCCCUUGAAUCCUCAAGUACUGAACAAAUUGAAGUGUAAGGUGAAGACAGGAUACCAUGAAGAUUUUGUUGUAGAUCAAGAUGGGCAAUGGCUGCUGCAGGGAUGGAAGGGACGGAUUCUUUAUGCAUCAUCUGCAUGGAUUCCUGCAUAGGAACAUCAUAGUUUGUUUCUUAGGGCACACUCCCAGCACUAGGCAGGCGGCAGUAUUUUCGUAGUUUAAGCUGCCUAAGAUGAAGGAGAGAGCCAGAGGUGGACCUGGUAUCUCUAUUUGAUUGUAC